GUCUACGGCCAUACCACCCUGAACGCGCCCGAUCUCGUCUGAUCUCGGAAGCUAAGCAGGGUCGGGCCUGGUUAGUACUUGGAUGGGAGGACUUAUGAGAGCGAUGUUGGAAGUGACC
rnacentral:rRNA from 1 species